rnacentral:rRNA from 1 species
ACGAAGGUGGCAGGCGUUGUUCGGAUUUACUGGGCGUACAGGGAGCGUAGGCGGUUCGGUAAGCCCUCUGUGAAAUCUCCAGGCUUAACCUGGAACAGUCGGAGGGGACUGCUGAGCUAGAGGAUGGGAGAGGAGCGCGGAAUUCCCGGUGUAGCGGUGAAAUGCGUAGAUAUCUGGAGGAACACCGGUGGCGAAGGCGACAUCCUGGACCAAUUCUGACGCUGAGUGAGCGAAAGCCAGGGGAGCAAACGGGA